rnacentral:tRNA from 1 species
GGAGAAGUACUCAAGUGGUGACGAGGCUCCCCUGCUAAGGGAGUAGGUCGGGUUGACCGGCGCGAGGGUUCAAAUCCCUCCUUCUCCGCCA